AAAGGAAUUGACGGGGGCCCGCACAAGCAGCGGAGCAUGUGGUUUAAUUCGAAGCAACGCGAAGAACCUUACCUAGACUUGACAUCUCCUGAAUUACUCUGUAAUGGAGGAAGCCACUUCGGUGGCAGGAAGACAGGUGGUGCAUGGUUGUCGUCAGCUCGUGUCGUGAGAUGUUGGGUUAAGUCCCGCAACGAGCGCAACCCUUAUUGUUAGUUGCUACCAUUUAGUUGAGCACUCUAGCGAGACUGCCCGGGUUAACCGGGAGGAAGGUGGGGAUGACGUCAAAUCAUCAUGCCCCUUAUGUCUAGGGCUACACACGUGCUACAAUGGUCGGUACAAUGAGAUGCAACCUCGCGAGAGUGAGCAAAACUAUAAAACCGAUCUCAGUUCGGAUUGUAGGCUGAAAUUCGCCUACAUGAAGCUGGAGUUGCUAGUAAUCGCGAAUCAGAAUGUCGCGGUGAAUACGUUCCCGGGCCUU
rnacentral:rRNA from 1 species